rnacentral:rRNA from 1 species
AUUGAACGCUGGCGGCAGGCCUAACACAUGCAAGUCGAGCGGAUGAAGGGAGCUUGCUCCUGGAUUCAGCGGCGGACGGGUGAGUAAUGCCUAGGAAUCUGCCUGGUAGUGGGGGAUAACGUCCGGAAACGGGCGCUAAUACCGCAUACGUCCUGAGGGAGAAAGUGGGGGAUCUUCGGACCUCACGCUAUCAGAUGAGCCUAGGUCGGAUUAGCUAGUUGGUGGGGUAAAGGCCUACCAAGACGACGAUCCGUAACUGGUCUGAGAGGAUGAUCAGUCACACUGGAACUGAGACACGGUCCAGACUCCUACGGGAGGCAGCAGUGGGGAAUAUUGGACAAUGGGCGAAAGCCUGAUCCAGCCAUGCCGCGUGUGUGAAGAAGGUCUUCGGAUUGUAAAGCACUUUAAGUUGGGAGGAAGGGCAGUAAGUUAAUACCUUGCUGUUUUAACGUUACCAACAGAAUAAGCACCGGCUAACUUCGUG